GUAGAAGUAGAGGAGAUAAUGGAUGUCACAAACAAACCUCAGAUCUGUCAUUUUGCGUUCUGUGAGGUGUUCUGUGAGGUGAGGUGUUCUGUGAAGUGAGGUGUUCUGUGAGGUGAGGUGUCCUGUGAGGUGAGGUGAGGUGUGAGGUAAGGUGAGGUGAGGUGUCCUGUGAAGUGAGGGAGGUGUUUUUGGGAUUUGAUGAUGUGAGUAAUGAAGACGAGUUAAGGUAAGACCAUGCAUACACUGCUGUACAGUCCACGAUAAACAUAAAAGACCAGCCCCUUUUUAAAUAAUAACUAAAAAAAUUAUAUAAAACAAGAUAAGAAAAAAAAAUAUUUUAAAGAAUAAAACUACAUUUGUCUUUUUGUUGUGGACUGUAUAUACUUUCAUUUGUAUUGGAUGAGUAUGAAUUGUCCCACCGUGGCCCUGUGUGUGUGGAGUUUGCAUGUUCUCCCCGUGCUGCGGGGGUUUCCUCCGGGUACUCCGGUUUCCUCCCCCAGUCCAAACACAUGCAUGGUAGGCUGAUUGGCGUGUCCGUAGUGUAUGAAUGGGUGUGUGAGUGUGUAUGUGAUUGUGCCCUGCGAUGGAUUGGCACCCUGUCCAGGGUGUACGCCGCCUUGUGCCCCAUGCUCCCUGGGAUAGGCUCCAGGUUCCCCGUGACCCUGAAAAGGAUAAAGCGGUAGAAGAUGGAUGGAUGGAGUAUGAAUUGUGGAAUUGUGAUGGCAAAUUAAGAACACACGGAGGGUGCAGAGCAAAUGCUCUCUGUCUGAGCCGCUAUAAAUUAAACCUUCUUCUUUGGCCAAAUAUGUACCUUACCCAUGUGUGUGUAAAGAAUACUGAUAUGGGAUAUGAAACAUAACCAGUAGUCAGUGUGCAAGCAGCCAGCUGAAUGGUGAAUUUAUUCUACUCUGUUGAAUUCAUAUAUUUGUAAAUCUGACUUUGAAAGAGAACCUCACCGCAUGUCACUGAACCACAUCCAGGGUGUCCCCUGCCUUGUGCCUCGAGUUCCCUGGGAUAGGCUCCUCCAUGACCCUGUGUAGGAUAAGCAGUAUGGAAAAUGGAUGCAUGGAUUGAUGAAUGGAUGGCUAAUGGUAUCAGAUGAGCUUGUGCAUUAAAAAAGGUUCAGGGACUCUGGGAAACCCGUUCAGUAAUGUCAUCCCAUCUCAGGUAAGAAUUUUAUUUUCAUUAAGUUUAUUUCCCUUCAAUCUAUAAUUUGCGUGACCAUGUUGUACUUUCAAACUGACCUCAUCAGUCCAUAUCAGUGAAAAUAAACAACAACAAGAGAACUUACUGUUCUUCUUCCCACAAUCUUCAAGAAAUUGAUGCAACUUCCUGUUGAACAUGUGACAUGUGGGAUGUCUGAGAUAUUUCAUGGGGUGAAUGUGUUCAGGUUUGAGUGAAUGAACCUUUUCACAACCUAUAAUGUUUAUAUGAUACUGUUUUUGAAGUAUUUUAAUGACUAUAUUUAAAUGUGUUGUUAUAGUGGGCGGGGCCAAGCAAAAAUGGUUAUAUUAUAGUUCGUGUUAUUUAGGCUUAAAGUUAUUCAUCUGAAAUAUACAUAGAGUUUGUUAUAAAGGACACGUUUAUUUUACAUAAAUAUUCGUAAAUGUAAUAUCAAUGUGACACAAAUGACACCCGAAAAGUGGACUCACCCCAAAGUUACCCACAGGUACCUUUAUUUUACUGCUCAAAGACAUGACUGAUACAGAUGCAGUGCCCUCCACUAAUAUGUUAAAAUAAUUCACA